rnacentral:rRNA from 1 species
GAGGAAGGAGAAGUCGUAACAAGGUUUCCGUAGGUGAACCUGCGGAAGGAUCAUUGUCGAGACCGAAAUAUACAUCGAGCGAUUCAGAGAACCCGUGAAAAUGAGCCGACGACCGUCCUGGCUGUUGCCCCCGUCUCCUCCUCGCGUGGAGGGGGGCGCGGCAGAGGAAGGAUGAAAAACAAAUCGGCGCAGCAUCGCGCCAAGGGAAGAUUGAAAGGCACGAGCCCCGCGUCGGGCUCGGUGGCGUGGGGUGCUUUGGCACACCAUGCGGAUGGACAUGACUCUCGGCAAUGGAUAUCUCGGCUCUCGCAUCGAUGAAGAGCGCAGCGAAAUGCGAUACGUGGUGCGAAUUGCAGAAUCCCGCGAACCAUCGAGUCUUUGAACGCAAGUUGCGCCCGAGGCCAGCCGGCUAAGGGCACGUCCGCCUGGGCGUCAAGCGUUGCAUCACUCCGUGCCGCCUUCGUCCCGCCAGUGGGCUCGUCGGUCGAGGCUUGGAUGUGCAGAGUGGCUCGUCGUGCCUGUUGGUGCGGCGGGUUGAAGAGCGGGUUGUCCCGUCGGCCGCGAACAACAAGGGAUGGGUGAAAGCUGUGAGCGCAGCCUGCGUUGUCUCGUGCCGGCCUGAGAGACGGGUUGAGCCUUCGAUGUGAUCCCAGCCCAUGGGCCGAACGGCAUGCCGCGGCUUGGAAUGUGACCCCAGGAUGGGCGAGGCCACCCGCCGAGUUUAAGCAUAUC